AGUGGCAUUGCUGGGACAUACGGUAACUCUUGUGUCUAAAUUUUUGAGGAAGUGCCAAACUUGUUUCCAAAGUGGUUACAUCAUUUACAUUCUCACUGACAAU
rnacentral:pre_miRNA from 1 species